GCGCUGAAAAAGUGGGCACCACUAUUUGCAUCCUUAAAACGUGUCUUUCCAAGACUGCUGGAAAAAAAUGGGCUGCUGGAAACUGUAGAUUGAUUCGUUACACCUUACGAGGAAGUGACUAUUUCGCACGGGAAGGGGAGGGACUCCGCGUGCAAGUCUGCGAGCGCAUAAAGUUAGUCCUCGGUGGGAAAUGCGGAAUAAGAAAGAAAAGAACACUUUGGACGCCAGUGAGAUUCGGUCCAUCGUAGACGUAUGGCACUCCACCCCACCUCUGGAUAUUGCAAAGGCUCGUCAGCACCUAAGUCCACACCAGAUUUAGUGAAAAUUUCAGUGAGGCAGUCCUCGUGAACGGUUCAUGCCCUGAUACCUGGCGAUUCGCGGACCACUUAAUAAUUUGGACGGAUGCUUGUAUUUGCAUCUGGACACGCGCAUCCCCCAUGCAAGCGCCUCUCAUCCCUGGCUUACCGACCGAAGACUUUUGCAGGAAGCAGAAGAAAGCUACAAAGGAGUCUCUGGAGACAUUUACAGCCUGCCCCGCCUGGAAAAGUCUCCACCAUUGUACCUAAGUAGAGGAAAUCUCUACUGACCCUUAAAUGUUUUUUUUUUUAAUCCCUUACAGACAAAUUGCUUACAAAUUUGUGGCUAAGAUAAAAAUUAGCCGGCGCACGUAUUUUAUUUAUUUGGAGUAAAUUUAGUUGCAAACCGCAGUGUGAUAUAUGUCGCGUUGUUUCUGUCGCGCGUUAUUUUUUUUAAUGGAAGAAAGAAGCGUAUUAUAGUUUAGUUUAAGAGCUAAUAUAUCAACAGUAAUAUUACAACUGUUAAUGAAUACCGAUUUUUUUUUUAAAUCACUGACAAUUAAAAGCAUUAAAAACAUAAGUGGUUUUUGAAGAUGCGUAGAUGCAACAGAACUGUCCUGUACAUUGUUCACUGCCAACAUAAGAAACCAAUAACAACAAUAACAAGCAGACAGACUUGAUGUAGUGAGAAGACAUGUUGGCAUUAGAGGCUAAUGCACGUGCUUUGUGUUAAGGUGUGAAGCUCACCCCUCCCCUCCCCCCCACUGCCGGUUAGAGGCGUACAUCUCAGCCGCUGACUUGGACUCUCUAUCAGAGCUUGGCACCAUUGACUGAUGCCCCUGUUUCACCCCAGCGGAAAACUGGCUCUGCUCGGAGGCGGACUUUAGCUUCAUUUUUAUUCUUUGUUUCCCGGUAAUUUCAGCCAUGGUAAAAUUACAGUUAGCAUCGACGAGUGUGGGAUGUGCGGAGGACAAAAGAAUCUACAUUUAUUAUACACAAUUAAUAUUAUAUAUUCAUUCUAUCUCAAUCAACUGAGAAAUAUCGUAUGGGGAUUACUUCUAUACACUGUAUCAAUACUAUAUUCCUUAAUUCCUUACUCUCUUGAAAUGCGUUAUAUAUAAGUACGGCGGAGCUGAAAAUGAGCAAGCAGAAUUAACAGAUAUUAUUCUCCCCACAGUCACAUUUUAAAGGCUGAUCUGGCAAUUUAUCAAUGAUUUUUUUUCCACCCCGCCACUGGCUUAAUUGGAAUAUUUUAAUUUCUGCAGAAAGCCGCUUGGCAUCCCUUACUGCUUUGUAAGCCGUCUGUAUGUCACACAAAGAUGGCACGGCACGGAUGUUGAAGGACGCAAUAAAUAAAUUACAGAAAUGUAUUUCUAGGCAUGGACACAUUUCUAUCUAGGAGAGCAGCUCAGCAAAGACAAAUACUGCACUGGGAUGAAAAACUGCACUCGGUGCUUUGUGUCUCAGUCUACAAUGAGUCCUUAUGACACACAAUACAUUCUGUUUUGAUGCGCCCCCCGUGGGCCAGAAUUACACGAGGAAUUUUCCAAAGGGAGGGAGAAUUGCUGGCAAAAUAAACUGGAGUGUCUUGAGUCCCGUUGCGGUAGAUGUGGGGAGAGGAGCCUCAGCUGAAUGCUCGCACUACACGUCGAGGGACUUCACGUGCUCGACUGUGAUGGAGAACAAGAGCGAUACAUAAUAAUAAAGAAAUACUCUUAAGGACCGUGCUUUCGUUUUUUGCCGGGUAUUUUCUAACUGUCACGGUGUUGUUAUCCUGUAGAAUUUUCAUCUGUGCGUUUCAUACUUGUGACACUAAUGGUCUUUGUGUUUCUGUUUAUUUCUGUCCCCUUUGACAUGCAGAUUUGCGGGCCCCGGUGUGCGAAAGGGGCCCUUGCAUCCCUUUGGAUGAGGUUGCCUCCAGGGGAUCGGGAUCGGACCCCAGGGGCUAUAGGGCAGGGCAGACAGGCACCAUAAGAGACUGUAAGGACGGCUCAACAUGGAGGAGACGAUCUUCACAGCAGAAUGCAGCCGCUUUAACAAAAUGCCACACGGUGUGUUUGGAAAGCUAAACGGGGCACUGCUGUUUAAGCGGGGAUGGGGAUGAUGAGGGGUCACAGGGCCUUGGGGUGUACGGCGGCUGGCAGGCCUUUGGCGACCAACCCCACCCCCCAGUUUCCUGUCGGGUUACAGGAGAACAUGCUGUAGACGUGAGAGUGGGGGAAGGCGGCAGGGGGCGAUGCGUUUGGCGAUGUGGGGG